UACGUAGGGUGCGAGCGUUGUCCGGAAUUAUUGGGCGUAAAGAGCUUGUAGGUGGCUCGUUGCGUCGGGAGUGAAAACCUGCGGCUUAACCGCAGGCCUGCUUCCGAUACGGGCGAGCUAGAGUUCGGCAGGGGAGACUGGAAUUCCUGGUGUAGCGGUGGAAUGCGCAGAUAUCAGGAGGAACACCGGUGGCGAAGGCGGUUCUCUGGGCCUGUACUGACGCUGAGGAGCGAAAGCGUGGGGAGCGAACAGG
rnacentral:rRNA from 1 species